CACACUGGAGAGAGACUGUUCAGCUGUGGAGACUGUGGAAAGUCUUUUACGCAGUCUGGAAACUUAAAAGCACACCAACUCAUCCACACUGGAGAGAGACCGUUCAGCUGUGACGAGUGUGGAAAGUCAUUUACGCACAUUUCAAACUUAAAAAGACACAAACUCCUCCACAGUGGAGUUAAAGCGUACACCUGUGAUCAGUGUGGCAGAGCUUUUACUCACAGUCACAGCUUACAGAGUCAUCUAGUUACCCACUCUGGAAUUAAGGCGUACAGCUGUGACAUUUGUGGAAAAACUUUCAGCCGGAUAGGGAGCCGAAAUACACACCUACGCAUUCACACCAGACAUGAUGUGUACAGCUGUGAUCAGUGUGGUAAACAGUUUACUACAAACACAGAGUUGCGACAUCACAUGUUUACCCACACUGAGGAACGACCUUAUAAAUGUGACCUGUGUGAGAAGACUUUUAAAUCUCCACGUUACCUGAAAGCACACCAACAGAUCCACACCAGAAAGACUCCACAAGUGCAGUUACUGUGAGAAGCAGAGCCACACAGAUGGAUCAAGUUCUCAACCCUGUCAUCGCUGUGGGAAAGACUUUUGUUGUGACCUUUGUGGAAAAACUUUAAGUCAUUGAAGGACUCUGAAAAUACAUCAACGUAGACACACUGGAGACAAAAUGAACUACUGUAAAGAAUGUGGGAGAGGCUUCACCACUUCAAAGGACUUCAAACAAUAUGAACUCCUUCACAGUGGCGUUAAAAAGCAUGUCUGCGAUCAGUGUGGGUCAUCCUUCAUCAGUGCACGUCAGCUUGAAAAGCAUAAACGAGUCCACACAUGAGAGAAA